AUUAGAGCCGUGAAUAGAGUUAUUAUUUGUUUAUACAAUAUCCUUGAGCUGUAACAUUGCAUUGGAUAUAAAAUCAUAUAAUGGAAGGAGUAAACAUGUGAUUUUGUGCCAUUGUGAUAGGCUUUUGCAAAGACAUUAAUUGUAGCUCAGUUAGUGUAUCUACAGGAACAAUUCACACUAUUAAGGCCUAGCAUGAGUGAUUUCACCUCUCUAUUACAAACCUUUAAGAUGGUCUGAUGUUUUUCUAAUCAUGACUUCUCUUAUUUUAAUACUCUUGAGCCAUUAUUAAUAGUGGUGGAUCUAGCAGGCUGUGAUAAAGAACUCUAACAAUGCAAUAAAGGAUUUGCAGGACCUAGAUCAUGCCAACAUGUCAUCCGAUAGAAGGAGAUGGAGAAUUGGGAACAACAAUCAAAGCAUGUCCUGUAAGCUGUUUGAGAGAAAUGGGAACAAAACUGAUUAUUAUAAGAUCUUGCCUUGAUUUAUAUUCUCAUCACUUCCAAAUGCAAAUUUUGAUGCCAUUUCUUAGGUGGGCAUCCACAAUUAAGUAAUGAUGGUUCAGUGAUUAUUUGUUAUUAGAUUUACAUCCUAUAAAGUAUGGUAGCAUAUGGUUACAUCAUCUGCACCAUGAUUUUCUGCAAUUCUAAA